GGGGGGGGGGGGGGGGGGGGGGGGGGGGGGGGGGGGGGGGGGGGGGGGGGGGGGGGGGGGGGGGGGGGGGGGCCCUCCCGACCAAUCGCUGCGCAGCUCGGGCCCCCCCCUUUCGCCCCCCUCGCCCACCCGCCUGUUUGUUACGGUCGGGGCCACGUGCCGGCGCCUCGGGCCGGUCACGUGGCGCCCGGGGCCGGGGGUCUGAUGGGGACCGUGGGGAUCUGGAGAGUUCCUGUCCUUGAGGGUUUUCUGUGACUGUUCCGUGUCCUGCUGCUGCUGCUGCCAAUGUGGAUGCGAAUGCUGUGGCUACAAAGGCUUCUUACUGUCUCAUGCUGGGUCCCUCAAAUCCAAGAGCUACUUGGCAGUUUCCAAGGCAACCACCUGUGGAAUAAUUAAAAAGGAUGGAGUGUUAGCGUGCCAGAUAUAAGGAAUUCUUGCCUGGAGAGAGCGUUUCACUUUCGUCUUGAAGAAUCAAACGUGCUUCUGCCAGCAAAGUUAAGCAGUGGCCACGGGUGGGUUAUUGAGGAUCACAGCAAUGGUGAGAGUGGGAUCCUCCUCCUGCACCCCUUCAUUGUCCAGACAUCUGUAGUACAUGGACUGACUGAGCUGGAUGGUUUUAUUUUUGGGUUUUUUUGCAGUGUUUACUGGACUUGUCUCUUCUGGAAUUCAUUAGUGAGAAGUACUGGAGGUGUAAAGCUCUGUGGUUCCCCAGCUUAACUAAGAUCAGCCUGUUCAGUGAGGAACCAUACUCUUUUGUGAACUUUUGAGCCUGAACUCCAUUUAAAAUCCAUUUCUUGCACUGGAAAAGACUUAAGUAAUUCUUACAUAACUAGUUCCAUUACGACCAUAAUUUUCUAGAGCUCAGCCUGCUGCAAGUGUUGAGUCAGUUUAAAGCCUGCUGACCUGUACAUGGAGUAGGGCCACUUGCUCCACCUCCAGUCAACCUACUUCACACUUAAUUUCAUUGAGAUUCCUCAUUAAUUUCACUCCUGAAUUUCAUUUGUAUGUUUUAAUGUCCAGUGAGUAAUCU
rnacentral:lncRNA from 1 species